rnacentral:rRNA from 1 species
AUUGAACGCUGGCGGCAUGCCUUACACAUGCAAGUCGAACGGCAGCACGGGAGCAAUCCUGGUGGCGAGUGGCGAACGGGUGAGUAAUACAUCGGAACGUGCCCAAUAGUGGGGGAUAGCCCGGCGAAAGCCGGAUUAAUACCGCAUACGACCUACGGGUGAAAGCGGGGGAUCGCAAGACCUCGCGCUACUGGAGCGGCCGAUGUCGGAUUAGCUAGUUGGUGGGGUAAAGGCCUACCAAGGCUACGAUCCGUAGCUGGUCUGAGAGGACGACCAGCCACACUGGGACUGAGACACGACCCAGACUCCUACGGGAGGCAGCAGUGGGGAAUUUUGGACAAUGGGCGCAAGCCUGAUCCAGCCAUGCCGCGUGC